UCAGCCAUUUUGGACUGAACCAAGUUUGUUGAGUCAAUUGGAAAUAAGCUGAAUUUUUAAAUGACAUCGUUUUGUGUGAUUAAAAGAGGAUAAGUGUUCCUUUCGGUUUUUCUCAUUCUAGAACAUUCAUUUUGUCUUUGGUUUUCUCUUUGUUUUUAGAUCUGAAAACUUAUUUUGUAGAUUUGAUUUUCAUUUUCAAGAUAUCUUCAAAAUUUGGUUAUGGAGUGAUGUUUUCCAAAAUUUCAGGGUUAGCAGCGGUGGCAACUUCCACUUCGGCAGCGACAAUUACCACCUAGGUGCACCGUCUCCUCCUACCAAAUUGACCCACUUCUCUGCCUUGAGUUUUUUUUAGAUACACUUGUUCUGUAGAAAAAUUCAAGGUGCUAGAUCUAAUGCUUUUUGUUUGUGCUAAUUAAUUUUGCAAUUUGUGCUCAAUGUUUUGUCGAAUUACGAAAGUUGGUAGUGUUUCAUGGGAUUUUAGUUGGUUAAAGGUACCACUUCAAUGACAAGAAGCCCUAAAUUUUCUUAGAAUUUGUUCAUGAAUUAGCGAAAAAAAUAAAACUCAUUUAUUAUUGGGUAUAAGUUUUGCUUUACUUUAUUGAUGCUUUCAAACAUCUUGAUUCACUUGAGGUAUGUUUAAAAUAGUGUGUUUUCAUUCCAAUAUUUUGAUUCUGCUUGAAAAGCUCUUUUCUUGAUGUGCGAGCAUCAAUUUUUACACUUCACAACCUAUCUAGAGGAUUCUGCAAGCGUGCGAGCUAGGCUGUAACAUUUGAGCAAUAUCCUUCUUUAGGUAAUCGUGUUGUGCGUACCUUCAAAUCUAUGUACCUAGCAUAAUUGAAAAUGAAAACAUUAAGAACUAGAUAACAUAAUUCUUCUUCACAAAUCUUUUGUAUGACUCAGCUCUAUACUGUUUAAUUAUCACCACAAAAAACAAAAGCAAAGAAAUUCACAAGCAAUUAAUUUUAUAUCAUUCAAGUAUUUCCAUACCACAUAUAUUGCUUUCUAUAUUAGAAUUUAUUGAAUGAGAAACAAUGUAUUAAACUCCAUGAAGGAGAAGAUGAAUUACACUCCAUGAAAGGAGGAAAUGAACAGCUCCAUAAAAGGAGGAAGACACUCCAUAAUAGGAGGAAAUGAAAUCUCCAUGGAAGGAGGGAUUGGAGGACAAUCCAAUAGACUAAAAAUUCAUCCACGGUGCUGUAUUUAUAGAGCAAAAUGGCUAAAGUAAUUAACUAACUAAUUAGCUAAUUAACAAACUAAUCAAUAACUAACUAACAACUAAGACAGCUGGACACAACCGUUUUGGAAUCUGAUAUGUUGAGAUGGAAGUCUCUAGAAUCUGGUGCACACAUGAUGCUGGAAUCUGCUGAUGUUUGGUGCAUGUGUAUUCCAACAUUCUAUUCUUUAUCUAUGUCGUUUGAUUUUUGAUAAUUUUAAAGCAACGUUUAAAAUUCUCCAAAAGGGAUUUCUAUUAUGUUUCACAACCUUAUGUUGACCAUAUUAUCUUUGUAGUAUACGCCGUAAAAAAGAGUUGAAGUGAAUUUUUUCCUGUUGAGAUGAGCCAAUUAGUGGUAGAUUUAUAUGUGUUGUUGUGUAUGUAUUUUCGCAGUUUGUAUAAUAUAUCUGCAAGAACGUAGGAUUUGACUUUUGAAAAUAGCUCUGAUUCACCAUGUCUCAGAAACUGGUUUGACAUAUCCAGCAAGCAAGAAGUGAUACAAAAGUUGAGACAACAAUUAAAGAGAAAAGAUUACAUGAUGCUAGAAAUACAAGAUCAGAUUGCAAAACUUUGAGACUCUUUGUGAAGUGCAUUUGUAUUCUUUCCAUCUACAAUAGCUGCUCGAUUCUACAAACAGGGAUCUGUUUGAUUCCAAAGGAAAAUAUAGAGAUUAAGAAAGGCAAUUGCAGAUAAUUAUGGGGGACAUAUGGUUUUUAGUGACAAUUCCCUUGCUGUUCAUCUAGCAGAAGGAAGGAAUGGCCACACAAAUGGAUAUUCCGAGAUUGAAAGCAAUCUUGAUUCUUAAGAAAAAGGGAGAGGAGAUUGGGAUAUAACAUUGAAACAUUAAGAAGGGAAGUCAGGGGGUGAAAAGAAGUAAUAAUCCAAAAUCUCAAAACUUUUGGGCUGUCGUAUCUUAUCUAAACUCAAAAUAUUAGAAAUUUCAAACAUAUGUUUUUUUACGUGUGAUAAGGAUUAAGAAUAAAAGUAGAUGUCAUGGUAUCUUGUUAAUAUAUAACUGAGAAAACAUUUUGAAAAAAAAAUAAAAUAAAAGAUAAUUAUUUUUAGAAGUGAAAAGUUAUAUCGUUGAAUUAAUUUUCAUGUUAUUAUAUUUAUUCAAGACAUCUUUCGGUAAGCUUCCAAGAUUGAGCUUCUUGUUCAUCUUGUGGAAUUAAUUGAUGAUUGUAGGUGUUUAGUCAAGAAAGCUUGUUUGGUUUUACCGUUCUUGAUUAAUCUUUAGGUUCGAUUGAUUUUCUUGAUUUUGGUUUUUUUUUUCAUUAGUAAGCAAAAAGAAAAAAAAAACAUUUUUGCUGUUCUGAUUAUAUGUCAUAAUUUAUUGUAUCUAUUUAAUGAGUUAAACCAUGUGGUAUUGCCUAAUUGUUUCUAUGCACAACUAAAAAACAAUGUAAUUUCGUUCUUCACAUGUCCUAUUACUAAAUAGUAUUUGAUCUUUUUCACUUAGCUUGCACUUUAGCAACAUGAGUUUUUGUUGACUUCCUUGAAGUGAGAUGUGUUUGAUGUUACAGGUGCCUUCCAGAAUUUCAGGGACUACAUCAAAUUUUGUGAUUAAUAAACCCGAGAUUUAAUUUAAACAACCCAAUUUCCUGCAAUUUAUGAAGGAAGCUAAGGAUAUGGAUCUGGAUUUAUGGUAUUUUGUUGAACAAAAGAACAUUUAAUAACCAAUAUCGAUUCUCCAGUAUUUUAUAUUCCAUUUCUGACUUUUAGCAUGCGAACUUUUAUAGCUCUUGUAAGAGGUUUAGUACUUAGCACAAUAUUCAUAUUUUGUAAUUGCAAUUUAGCUAAGACAUCUUGCAGUUGUAGCAUGGCAGGUAUUAAUCAGGGUUGAAAUUAUAAAAGAAAAUGGAAAUAAUAUAAUCAAUCUCUGUCUUCAAUAAACAUUACACGCAUACCAACGAACAAGCUGGAGGAAAACAAAAAAGUGGAGAAGAGGAACUACAACAUUAGAUUUCAGGAAUACGGAUUAUGAGUGCCCUAUUUGAGUCCCAUUUUUUCAAGAAUUCAUUUUUUCAAAUCUCACUUUCAACUAUACAUUCUCUCAUAAAAUAAAAUACGUAUUUUAAACAUUUUUCUUGAUUUUUAACCACACAUUCUCCAAAAAAUCACUAUUCUAUAAUCCAUUUUACCCAAGAAUGGGGAUCAAACAGGGACUAGAUUUCCAUUACAAAGUAAACUUUACCUUUCUCUUCACUAUUUUGUCUUGGUCAGUGGUGGAUCUAGGAGUUGGAGCCAACUAGGGCAGUUGGUAACCGUCGACUGAUGCAUUAACAAGAUCGUUUAUUAAUAUUUUAUUAAAUAAUAUUAAAAAAAUUUAAUUAAUAUAUAAAUGCAGUAAAACGUAAAUCACAUAUUAACA
rnacentral:lncRNA from 1 species